rnacentral:rRNA from 1 species
UACGUAGGGUGCAAGCGUUAAUCGGAAUUACUGGGCGUAAAGCGUGCGCAGGCGGUUAUGUAAGACAGAUGUGAAAUGCCCGGGCUUAACCUGGGAACUGCAUCUGUGACUGCAUGGCUAGAGUUUGGCAGAGGGGGGUAGAAUUCCACGUGUAGCAGUGAAAUGCGUAGAUAUGUGGAGGAACACCGAUGGCGAAGGCAGCCCCCUGGGUCAAGACUGACGCUCAUGCACGAAAGCGUGGGGAGCAAACGGG